CUUGUAUUCCCCGUCCGUCAUCACAGUAAAGACUCUCCGUCAAGACCGACGGAUCCUCGACCGCGACGCCCGGUCGAAAAACGGUCUCCGACGGCCUACGCGUAUAAGCAUACCGGAACGUGUGUGUGUGUGUGUGGUCCGUUUUAGACGUGAACGAGACGAGUAAAACGACAUUUGAAUUAACGAUAAAAAACGACGUUUCGCGUUUCAUAAUGUUUACAAAGGUU